CACUCCUACGGGAGGCAGCAGUGGGGAAUAUUGCACAAUGGGCGCAAGCCUGAUGCAGCCAUGCCGCGUGUAUGAAGAAGGCCUUCGGGUUGUAAAGUACUUUCAGCGGGGAGGAAGGCAAUACGGUUAAUAACCGUGUUGAUUGACGUUACCCGCAGAAGAAGCACCGGCUAACUCCGUGCCAGCAGCCGCGGUAAUACGGAGGGUGCAAGCGUUAAUCGGAAUUACUGGGCGUAAAGCGCACGCAGGCGGUCUGUCAAGUCGGAUGUGAAAUCCCCGGGCUCAACCUGGGAACUGCAUUCGAAACUGGCAGGCUUGAGUCUUGUAGAGGGGGGUAGAAUUCCAGGUGUAGCGGUGAAAUGCGUAGAGAUCUGGAGGAAUACCGGUGGCGAAGGCGGCCCCCUGGACAAAGACUGACGCUCAGGUGCGAAAGCGUGGGGAGCAAACAGGAUUAGAUACCCGUGUAGUCCCAUG
rnacentral:rRNA from 1 species